rnacentral:rRNA from 1 species
UACGUAGGGCGCGAGCGUUGUCCGGAUUUAUUGGGCGUAAAGAGCUCGUAGGCGGCUUGUCACGUCGAUUGUGAAAGCCCGAGGCUUAACCUCGGGUCUGCAGUCGAUACGGGCUAGCUAGAGUGUGGUAGGGGAGAUCGGAAUUCCUGGUGUAGCGGUGAAAUGCGCAGAUAUCGGAAGGAACACCAGUGGCGAAAGCGGCUUCCUGGUCCAGCACCGACGUUCAGGCACGAAAGCGUGGG